rnacentral:lncRNA from 1 species
CCAAGUUUAUAAAUUUAUGUGAUUGAGACCUUGUAAUUGAUCAUCCACAACUCAUAACUGCAGCAAGAUGGCAGAUAAUCAGCAUGAGGGAAGCAGGUAUGUCGCUGUGACAAUUGCACGUAUUGUUUGUCAUCACCAUUCCACUAUAAGUCGUUUUGAGAAUAAAAAUCAGUCAAGAAACGAUGUUAAAGACCUUCCGAGGUCAAGAAGACCCCCUAUAACAUCUGCUAGUGAAAAUCAAGCAUAAUGAAGGUUGGUCAGAAGGAAACCCAUUGCAAACAAUACAAUCCUAAAAAGAGAGUUAUGACCAUACAGGAGCCUUUAAACAAGAACUGUUCGAGAUUGGCUCAUCGCUACUGGUUAUCGUGCGAUAAUACCAUUUCGGGGACCUUUGCCUACGAACAGACACA